AUCAUUAUCGAGUUUUGAAAAGGGUUGUAGCUGGCCUUCGGCAACAAGUCGGAGGCAUGUGCACGCCUGGCUCAUCCACUCUCAAACCCCUGUGCACCUUUUGUAGGCUUCGGCAGAGAGGACUGACUUCGGUCGGUUCAGGAAGCCUUGUGCCUAUGUCACACAUACAAACGCUUCAGUUUAGAAUGUAACGAAUCGUGCGCCUCGGUGCAACGAAAUAAAUACAACUUUCAGCAACGGAUCUCUUGGCUCUCGCAUCGAUGAAGAACGCAGCGAAAUGCGAUAAGUAAUGUGAAUUGCAGAAUUCAGUGAAUCAUCGAAUCUUUGAACGCACCUUGCGCUCCUUGGUAUUCCGAGGAGCAUGCCUGUUUGAGUGUCAUGAAAUUCUCAACCUUUGAAGCUUUUUUUUGAGCUCGCAAAGGCUUGGACUUGGAGGUCGUGUCGGCUCGUAACAAAGUCGACUCCUCUGAAAUGCAUUAGUGUGAAACCUUCGCAGGAUCGCCUUCGGUGUGAUAAUUGUCUACGCCGUCGGUCGUGAAAGUCGAAACAUACGUGUUC
rnacentral:rRNA from 1 species